AGUUCUGCGUGUGCGCUGCCGCCUCUGUGUUGGGAUGGGCGGGGACUGUUUCAGACUCCAGUCCCAAAGUGACCGGUCUCUUCAACGCGAAGCAUUGUGUGUUCGAGUGCCCACAUGUAAAGCUCAGAGGACAACUUUUGGAGCUAGGUCGUACUUCGAAGGCUCGGGUCUCAAGGGCUGAACUCGGGGUGACAAGCACCUUUACCCACUAAACCAUCUUGCCAGGCCAGUACCAGGAUGUUUAAAAUUUAUUGAGCGUUGAUAUUUUUUUUACGUUAGAAAUAAACUACAUCAUUCAAUUUUA